rnacentral:rRNA from 1 species
AGUGAACGCUGGCGGUAGGCCUAACACAUGCAAGUCGAACGGCAGCACAGUAAGAGCUUGCUCUUACGGGUGGCGAGUGGCGGACGGGUGAGGAAUACAUCGGAAUCUACUUUUUCGUGGGGGAUAACGUAGGGAAACUUACGCUAAUACCGCAUACGACCUACGGGGGAAAGCAGGGGAUCUUCGGACCUUGCGCGAUUGAAUGAGCCGAUGUCGGAUUGGCUAGUUGGCGGGGUAAAUGCCCACCAAGGCGACGGUCCGUAGCUGGGCUGAGAGGAUGAUCAGCCACACUGGAACUGAGACGCGGUCCAGACUCCUAGGGGAGGCAGCAGUGGGGAAUAUUGGACAAUGGGCGCAAGCCUGAUCCAGCCAGACCGCGUGGGUGAAGAAGGCCUGCGGGUUGUAAAGCCCUUUUGUUGGGAAAGAAAAGCAGCAGGUUAAUACCCCGCUGUUCUGACGGUACCCAAAGAAUAAGCACCGGCUAACUUCGU